AGUGAACGCUGGCGGUAGGCCUAACACAUGCAAGUCGAACGGCAGCACAGUAAGAGCUUGCUCUUACGGGUGGCGAGUGGCGGACGGGUGAGGAAUACAUCGUAAUCUACUUUUUCGUGGGGGAUAACGUAGGGAAACUUACGCUAAUACCGCAUACGACCUACGGGUGAAAGCAGGGGAUCUUCGGACCUUGCGCGAUUGAAUGAGCCGAUGUCGGAUUAGCUAGUUGGCGGGGUAAAGGCCCACCAAGGCGACGAUCCGUAGCUGGUCUGAGAGGAUGAUCAGCCACCUUGGAACUGAGACACGGUCCAGACUCCUACGGGAGGCAGCAGUGGGGAAUAUUGGACAAUGGGCGCAAGCAUGAUCCAGCCAUACCGCGUGGGUGAAGAAGGCCUUCGGGUUGUAAAGCCCUUUUGUUGGGAAAGAAAAGCAGCAGGUUAAUACCACGCUGUUCUGACGGUACCCAAAGAAUAAGCACCGGCUAACUUCGUG
rnacentral:rRNA from 1 species